CCUACGGGAGGCAGCAGUAGGGGAAUCUUGCGCAAUGGGCGAAAGCCUGACGCAGCCAUGCCGCGUGAAUGAUGAAGGUCUUAGGAUUGUAAAAUUCUUUCACCGGGGACGAUAAUGACGGUACCCGGAGAAGAAGCCCCGGCUAACUUCGUGCCAGCAGCCGCGGUAAUACGAAGGGGGCUAGCGUUGCUCGGAAUUACUGGGCGUAAAGGGAGCGUAGGCGGAUAGUUUAGUCAGAGGUGAAAGCCCAGGACUCAACCUUGGAACUGCCUUUGAUACUGGCUAUCUUGAGUACGGGAGAGGUGUGUGGAACUCCGAGUGUAGAGGUGAAAUUCGUAGAUAUUCGGAAGAACACCAGUGGCGAAGGCGACACACUGGCCCGUUACUGACGCUGAGGCUCGAAAGCGUGGGGAGCAAACAGGAUUAGAUACCCUGGUAGUCCACGCCGUAAACGAUGAGUGCUAGUUGUCGGCAUGCAUGCAUGUCGGUGACGCAGCUACGACAUAAGUACACUCCGCCGUCGGGAGGUACGGUCGCGAAGAAGUUAAAACGUUAAAACGGUAAAGUUAGACGGCGUGAGACGUGCCGACGGACGACGACGAGGGAGGAGG
rnacentral:rRNA from 1 species